AAAGGGAGACCUAAUUCGGGUAGAAGACGAAAAAAUAGUAGUCGAAACCAAGAAUCAAUCCCAAAAGGUCGGAACGAGGUAUGUGGCUUUCAAACUAGGUUCUGGGUUCAUAAAAGACCUGAAUCAGGAACAAGGGCUAUUAGCUCAGGUGGUUAGAGCGCACCCCUGAUAAGGGUGAGGUCCCUGGUUCGAGUCCAGGAUGGCCCACCUGCACAGGUGGCAAAAACAAGAGAAACGAGGAAUCAGCACCUUAUCUUACUUACAUAGUAAGAGAGAAUGCUGGCUCUGAGUAAAGAGUCCAGAGGAACCUUGAAAACUGCAUAGAGCUAGGUGAAAAAGCCAAAAAAGAAGACCGCAAG
rnacentral:tRNA from 1 species